rnacentral:lncRNA from 1 species
AAGCCCCAGCCGGCUCCUUCUUGAAAGUCAUGUCCUGAGGCGGCGGGGGCGGCGUUUGGGAGGAGGCCGAGGCCGAGGCGGAGGCGGAGGCGGCGGAGGCCGGUGGUAGCCCGCAGGGCGGCGGGUGCUGGGCCUGCGGCGGCGCGGCCGCGCGGCUACUCAACUGGUCUAAUAAAAGUUAUUGCAUCCACUCAAAGAACCUUGCCUGGAAAGCCCAGGGGAGAUGAAAGCACCCUGCCUCAAGAAACCAUAGAUCACCCCUGCAGCCAAGGCUCCGCAUUAGCAGACGAUGGUAGCCAAGUCCUGCUAGCGAAACCCACUGCCUUGAGAUACUCCAAGCAGACUUACCUCUGUGUUGUACACCCCAUAUAUCAGGAAGAUGAAGAGACCCUGUAAAAUAAAAUGGAGGGAAAAAGCUGUUAACUCUAAUCA